UCGGGGUAGCUCAGUUGGUAGAGCAGAGGACUGAAAAUCCUCGUGUCACCAGUUCA
rnacentral:tRNA from 1 species